CAUGCAGUCGAGCGCGGGAAGCGAACGGAACUCUUCGGAGGGAAGUUCGUGGAACGAGCGGCGGACGGGUGAGUAACACGUAGGCAACCUGCCUGUAAGACUGGGAUAACUCGCGGAAACGCGAGCUAAUACCGGAUAACACUUUCCAUCUCCUGAUGGAAAGUUGAAAGGCGGCUUUUGCUGUCACUUACAGAUGGGCCUGCGGCGCAUUAGCUAGUUGGUGAGGUAAUGGCUCACCAAGGCGACGAUGCGUAGCCGACCUGAGAGGGUGAUCGGCCACACUGGGACUGAGACACGGCCCAGACUCCUACGGGAGGCAGCAGUAGGGAAUCUUCCGCAAUGGACGAAAGUCUGACGGAGCAACGCCGCGUGAGUGAUGAAGGUUUUCGGAUCGUAAAACUCUGUUGUCGGGGAAGAACAAGUAUGAUAGUAACUGAUCGUACCUUGACGGUACCCGACCAGAAAGCCACGGCUAACUACGUGCCAGCAGCCGCGGUAAUACGUAGGUGGCAAGCGUUGUCCGGAAUUAUUGGGCGUAAAGCGCUCGCAGGCGGUUCUUUAAGUCUGAUGUGAAAUCUUGCGGCUCAACCGCAAACGUGCAUUGGAAACUGGAGGACUUGAGUGCAGAAGAGGAGAGUGGAAUUCCACGUGUAGCGGUGAAAUGCGUAGAGAUGUGGAGGAACACCAGUGGCGAAGGCGACUCUCUGGUCUGUAACUGACGCUGAGGAGCGAAAGCGUGGGGAGCGAACAGGAUUAGAUACCCUGGUAGUCCACGCCGUAAACGAUGAGUGCUAGGUGUUAGGGGGUUUCCGCCCCUUAGUGCUGAAGUUAACGCAUUUAGCACUCCGCCUGGGGAGUACGC
rnacentral:rRNA from 1 species